CGCGUGCAGGAAGAAUGCCCUAUGGGUAGUAAACUGCUUUUAUACGGGAAGAAAAAGAGCUACGUGUAGCUUACUGACGGUACCGUAAGAAUAAGGACCGGCUAACUCCGUGCCAGCAGCCGCGGUAAUACGGAGGGUCCGAGCGUUAUCCGGAAUUAUUGGGUUUAAAGGGUCCGUAGGCGGGCCGAUAAGUCAGGGGUGAAAGUCUGCCGCUCAACGGUAGAACUGCCUUUGAUACUGUCGGUCUUGAGUUAUAGUGAAGUUGCCGGAAUAUGUAGUGUAGCGGUGAAAUGCAUAGAUCUUACAUAGAACACCGAUUGCGAAGGCAGGUGACUAACUAUAUACUGACGCUGAUGGACGAAAGCGUGGGGAGCGAACAGGAUUACAUACCCUGGUAGUCCACGCCGUAAACGAUGGAUACUAUCUGUCCGGAACCUUGAGUUCUGGGCGGCCAAGCGAAAGUGAUAAGUAUCCCACCUGGGGAGUACGUUCGCAAGAAUGAAACUCAAAGGAAUUGACGGGGGCCCGCACAAGCGGUGGAGCAUGUGGUUUAAUUCGAUGAUACGCGAGGAACCUUACCAGGGCUUAAAUGCAUAUUGACAGGGUCAGAGAUGACUUUUCCUUCGGGCAAUUUGCAAGGUGCUGCAUGGUUGUCGUCAGCUCGUGCCGUGAGGUGUCAGGUUAAGUCCUAUAACGAGCGCAACCC
rnacentral:rRNA from 1 species